UACGUAGGGCGCAAGCGUUGUCCGGAAUUAUUGGGCGUAAAGAGCUCGUAGGCGGCUUGUCACGUCGGAUGUGAAAGCCCGAGGCUUAACCUCGGGUCUGCAUUCGAUACGGGCUAGCUAGAGUGUGGUAGGGGAGAUCGGAAUUCCUGGUGUAGCGGUGGUAAAAUGCGCAGAUAUCAGGAGGAACACCGGUGGCGAAGGCGGAUCUCUGGGCCAUUACUGACGCUGAGGAGCGAAAGCGUGGGGAGCGAACAGG
rnacentral:rRNA from 1 species